UACACCCGGAAGUGUUUUGGGGUCGCCCCCACGGCGGCGCGGCGGAGCUCAGCCUCGAUCUCGCGAAACCGAGCGAGACUACGAAAGGCCGAAGGAUUGGGCUCAGCAUUGCUUGGGCUAAAGGCUGCCUAGGGCUUCCAGGAAGUGAUGUAUGUGAGAAGUUUGCUUUUUAAAGUGUACGUGGGAUCGUUAUUACGUCGAAAUAGCUCGAGCUGUAACCUAGGGCUUGAGUGCAGUGGCAUGAUCUUGGCUCACUGCAACCUCCACCUCCCGAGUUCAAGCGAUUCUCCUGCCUCACCCUCCUGAGUAGCUGGGACUACAGGCCUGCGCCACCACACCUGGCUAACUUCUGAAUAUCAAGCUGAAAUUACUAUCAGAUAUCUUGCCACCACAUAGAGGCUUUGAGUGAAGUCUGCAUGGAGGAGAACAGAGCUGAGAGAUGGAAAGAUAUUGAAUCCCAGUGACGUCCUUUGAGAUGUCGGAUCAAGCUGAGCUGGGCGUGAAGAUAGAACUACUCCUAUACUUUUAAGAUACGCAGAACACCUGAGCCACAGUAUCAGAACUAGGGUUGGAAGCCUGCUUUUCCUGGAAUGAAACCCCUCACUCUUCAAGUGUCCACAAGACAAGAGUCAUUGUGCAGGCCUAUCUCUAGAGAGGCUAACAGACUCUUUCUGGCUUUGAAAGAAACAAGCUGCCAUAUUGAAACAAGCUGCCAUAUUAUGUGUGAGCUGCCCUAAGGAAAGACACACAUGGUAAGGAAGAGAGGAUGACCUCUGGCUGAUAGGCAGCAAGAAACUAAGGACCUCAGUCUGAGAACCUGCAAGGAGCUGAAUUCUUCCAAUUACCAUGUGAGCUUGGAAGCAGCUCCUUCCCCAGUCAAGCCUCAGAUGAGACCCCAGCCCUGGCCAACACCUUGAUUGCAGCCUCUUAUGAAGAUUGUAGUCCCUAAGCAGAAAAUCCAGAUAACCUGUGCCCAGAUUGCUGAGCCACAGAAAUUCACUGAGAUAAUAAACGUGUGUUUCAAGCUGCUGAA